UCCUCCCACACCACCAGGGCAGGGGUCCCUACAAUGCCUGGUGGGCAGGAUUUCAGAUUGUUAAGAAAUGGAAGCCAGACGAUGAGGAGGCUCAUGUAGACUGCAAGGAACUACUCACAGCCUGGAGACUCUGGACUUCGGGCCACCUCUUCUGAUGAGGAGACUACAGAUCCAGGAGAAUAACAUGCUGAAGGAAAUUUGACGAAUCAGUGGCAAAACUACAGUGGAAAUCCAGGCCUGUGUGUGCUUCAAGUACAGUGAUUCUAUAUUGCCAGAGAAAUUUUCUUGUUCUCUGUCUGGGAACGAACACAAUCUUAACAUCUUACAGGAGUGCUGCUAUCAGACUGUCCAGGAUUAAAUCCUGGCUCUACAGCCUGGUAGCCAUGUGACCUUUGGCGAGCCCCUUCUUGU